rnacentral:rRNA from 1 species
UGGCUGGGGGUGAAAGGCCAAUCAAACCGGGAGAUAGCUGGUUCUCCCCGAAAGCUAUUUAGGUAGCGCCUCGUGAAUUCAUCUCCGGGGGUAGAGCACUGUUUCGGCAAGGGGGUCAUCCCGACUUACCAACCCGAUGCAAACUGCGAAUACCGGAGAAUGUUAUCACGGGAGACACACGGCGGGUGCUAACGUCCGUCGUGAAGAGGGAAACAACCCAGACCGCCAGCUAAGGUCCCAAAGUCAUGGUUAAGUGGGAAACGAUGUGGGAAGGCCCAGACAGCCAGGAUGUUGGCUUAGAAGCAGCCAUCAUUUAAAGAAAGCGUAAUAGCUCACUGGUCGAGUCGGCCUGCGCGGAAGAUGUAACGGGGCUAAACCAUGCACCGAAGCUGCGGCAGCGACGCUGAUGCGUUGUUGGGUAGGGGAGCGUUCUGUAAGCCUGUGAAGGUGUGCUGUGAGGCAUGCUGGAGGUAUCAGAAGUGCGAAUGCUGACAUAAGUAACGAUAAAGCGGGUGAAAAGCCCGCUCGCCGGAAGACCAAGGGUUCCUGUCCAACGUUAAUCGGGGCAGGGUGAGUCGACCCCUAAGGCGAGGCCGAAAGGCGUAGUCGAUGGGAAACAGGUUAAUAUUCCUGUACUUGGUGUUACUG